rnacentral:rRNA from 1 species
AGAGUUUGAUCAUGGCUCAGAUUGAACGCUGGCGGCAGGCCUAACACAUGCAAGUCGAACGGUAACAGGAAACAGCUUGCUGUUUCGCUGACGAGUGGCGGACGGGUGAGUAAUGUCUGGGAAACUGCCUGAUGGAGGGGGAUAACUACUGGAAACGGUAGCUAAUACCGCAUAACGUCGCAAGACCAAAGAGGGGGACCUUCGGGCCUCUUGCCAUCAGAUGUGCCCAGAUGGGAUUAGCUAGUAGGUGGGGUAACGGCUCACCUAGGCGACGAUCCCUAGCUGGUCUGAGAGGAUGACCAGCCACACUGGAACUGAGACACGGUCCAGACUCCUACGGGAGGCAGCAGUGGGGAAUAUUGCACAAUGGGCGCAAGCCUGAUGCAGCCAUGCCGCGUGUAUGAAGAAGGCCUUCGGGUUGUAAAGUACUUUCAGCGGGGAGGAAGGGAGUAAAGUUAAUACCUUUGCUCAUUGACGUUACCCGCAGAAGAAGCACCGGCUAACUCCGUGCCAGCAGCCGCGGUAAUACGGAGGGUGCAAGCGUUAAUCGGAAUUACUGGGCGUAAAGCGCACGCAGGCGGUUUGUUAAGUCAGAUGUGAAAUCCCCGGGCUCAACCUGGGAACUGCAUCUGAUACUGGCAAGCUUGAGUCUCGUAGAGGGGGGUAGAAUUCCAGGUGUAGCGGUGAAAUGCGUAGAGAUCUGGAGGAAUACCGGUGGCGAAGGCGGCCCCCUGGACGAAGACUGACGCUCAGGUGCGAAAGCGUGGGGAGCAAACAGGAUUAGAUACCCUGGUAGUCCACGCCGUAAACGAUGUCGACUUGGAGGUUGUGCCCUUGAGGCGUGGCUUCCGGAGCUAACGCGUUAAGUCGACCGCCUGGGGAGUACGGCCGCAAGGUUAAAACUCAAAUGAAUUGACGGGGGCCCGCACAAGCGGUGGAGCAUGUGGUUUAAUUCGAUGCAACGCGAAGAACCUUACCUGGUCUUGACAUCCACGGAAGUUUUCAGAGAUGAGAAUGUGCCUUCGGGAACCGUGAGACAGGUGCUGCAUGGCUGUCGUCAGCUCGUGUUGUGAAAUGUUGGGUUAAGUCCCGCAACGAGCGCAACCCUUAUCCUUUGUUGCCAGCGGUCCGGCCGGGAACUCAAAGGAGACUGCCAGUGAUAAACUGGAGGAAGGUGGGGAUGACGUCAAGUCAUCAUGGCCCUUACGACCAGGGCUACACACGUGCUACAAUGGCGCAUACAAAGAGAAGCGACCUCGCGAGAGCAAGCGGACCUCAUAAAGUGCGUCGUAGUCCGGAUUGGAGUCUGCAACUCGACUCCAUGAAGUCGGAAUCGCUAGUAAUCGUGGAUCAGAAUGCCACGGUGAAUACGUUCCCGGGCCUUGUACACACCGCCCGUCACACCAUGGGAGUGGGUUGCAAAAGAAGUAGGUAGCUUAACCUUCGGGAGGGCGCUUACCACUUUAUGAUUCAUGACUGGGGUGAAGUCGUAACAAGGUAACCGUAGGGGAACCUGCGGUUG